UACGUAGGGGGCAAGCGUUGUCCGGAAUCAUUGGGCGUAAAGAGCGUGUAGGCGGUUCGGUAAGUCUGCUGUGAAAGUCCAGGGCUCAACCCUGGAAAGCCGGUGGAUACUGUCGGACUAGAGUGCGGAAGAGGCGAGUGGAAUUCCCGGUGUAGCGGUGAAAUGCGCAGAUAUCGGGAGGAACACCGGUGGCGAAGGCGGGUCUCUGGGCCGGUACUGACGCUGAGGAGCGAAAGCGUGGGGAGCGAACAGG
rnacentral:rRNA from 1 species